CCUCGGGUUGAAACCCGAGGCUAUUAUAUCUGCGCCCUUACAGGGCU
rfam:Indibacter alkaliphilus LW1 Indibacter_contig_39, whole genome shotgun sequence.